rnacentral:rRNA from 1 species
ACGAACGCUGGCGGCGUGCUUAACACAUGCAAGUCGAACGGAAAGGCCCUGCUUUUGUGGGGUGCUCGAGUGGCGAACGGGUGAGUAACACGUGAGUAACCUGCCCUUGACUUUGGGAUAACUUCAGGAAACUGGGGCUAAUACCGGAUAGGAGCUCCUGCUGCAUGGUGGGGGUUGGAAAGUUUCGGCGGUUGGGGAUGGACUCGCGGCUUAUCAGCUUGUUGGUGGGGUAGUGGCUUACCAAGGCUUUGACGGGUAGCCGGCCUGAGAGGGUGACCGGCCACAUUGGGACUGAGAUACGGCCCAGACUCCUACGGGAGGCAGCAGUGGGGAAUAUUGCACAAUGGGCGGAAGCCUGAUGCAGCAACGCCGCGUGCGGGAUGACGGCCUUCGGGUUGUAAACCGCUUUCGCCUGUGUCGAAGCGUGAGUGACGGUAAUGGGUAAAGAAGCACCGGCUAACUACGUG